UACGGGGGGGGCAAGCGUUGUUCGGAAUUACUGGGCGUAAAGGGCUCGUAGGCGGCCAACUAAGUCAGACGUGAAAUCCCUCGGCUUAACCGGGGAACUGCAUCUGAUACUGGAUGGCUUGAGUUUGGGAGAGGGAUGCGGAAUUCCAGGUGUAGCGGUGAAAUGCGUAGUUAUCUGGAGGAACACCGGUGGCGAAGGCGGCAUCCUGGACCAACACUGACGCUGAGGAGCGAAAGCCAGGGGAGCAAACGGG
rnacentral:rRNA from 1 species